rnacentral:rRNA from 1 species
UCAUACGUAGGACCCAAGCGUUAUCCGGAAUUACUGGGCGUAAAGAGUUGCGUAGGUGGCAUAGUAAGUGGGGCGUGAAAGCGUGCGGCUCAACCGCAUAUCCGCGUUCCAAACUACUAAGCUUGAGUAUAAGAGAGGUAGAUGGAAUUUCUAGUGUAGGAGUGAAAUCCGUAGAUAUUAGAAGGAACACCGAUGGCGUAGGCAGUCUACUGGCUUAUUACUGACACUAAGGCACGAAAGCGUGGGGAGCGAACAGGAUUAGAUACCCUGGUAGUCCACGCCGUAAACUAUGGAUGCUAGCUGUGACACAUAUCGACCUGUGUCGUAGCGAAGUUAACGCGUUAAGCAUCCCGCCUGGGGAGUACGGUCGCAAGAUUAAAACUCAAAGGAAUUGACGG